rnacentral:rRNA from 1 species
CCUACGGGAGGCAGCAGUGAGGAAUAUUGGUCAAUGGCCGGAAGGCUGAACCAGCCAAGUCGCGUGAGGGACGACUGCCCUAUGGGUUGUAAACCUCUUUUAUAAGGGAAGAAUAAAUGCUACGUGUAGCAUGCUGCCUGUACCUUAUGAAUAAGCAUCGGCUAACUCCGUGCCAGUAGCCGCGGUAAUACGGAGGAUGCGAGCGUUAUCCGGAUUUAUUGGGUUUAAAGGGUGCGUAGGCGGUUUUUUAAGUUAGUGGUUAAACGUCGGGGCUUCACCUUGAUUUGCCAUUAAUACUGUAAGACUCGAGUUCAGACGAGGUAGGCGGAAUAAGUUAAGUAGCGGUGAAAUGCUUAGAUAUAACUUAGAACUCCGAUAGCGAAGGCAGCUUACCAGACUGCGACUGACGCUGAAGCACGAGAGCGUGGGUAGCGAACAGGAUUAGAUACCCGGGUAGUC